AUGUGCUGAGUAGCACGCGCGACGUGAGGAGGCGAGAGCGGAGCCGCGUUGGGAGGACACCGAUUCCAUAAUUAAUAUUCGCAAUGCGGAAGGAGCGCGAAAAACAGAUUAGGUGCGGGAAGUUGACCGGCGACAAGCAGUAUGUCAACCCGAGAGUUGACAGCUAUUAGCCACAACACAGCUUAUAUACCAUUCGUAUUUUAUUUUGUUAGCUUUAAUUAGUUAGUGUUACCAUGGUAAAGAAACAAAUAUACUAAAGAAUGAUAA